rnacentral:pre_miRNA from 1 species
GAUGUACUCCCUCCGUCCGGAAAUACUUGUCCUAAAAAUGGAUGUAUCUAGACUUAUUUUGGUUAUAGAUACAUCCAUUUUAUUUAUUUUUAAGACAAGUAUUUUCGGACGGAGUGAGCAUUUU